rnacentral:rRNA from 1 species
GACGAACGCUGGCGGAGGGGGGAACACAUGCAAGUCGAACGGAAGGGCCCUGCUUUUGUGGGGUGCUCGAGUGGCGAACGGGUGAGUAACACGUGAGUAUCCUGCCCUUGACUUUGGGAGAACUUCAGGAAACUGGGGCUAAUACCGGAUAGGAGCUCCUGCUGCAUGGGGGGGGUUGGAAAGUUUCGGCGGUUGGGGAUGGACUCGCGGCUUAUCAGCUUGUUGGUGGGGUAGUGGCUUACCAGGGCUUUGACGGGUAGCCGGCCUGAGAGGGUGACCGGCCCACUUGGGCCUGCGAUACGGCCCAGACUCCUACGGGAGGCAGCAGUGGGGAAUCUUGCACAAUGGGCGGAAGCCUGAUGCAGCAACGCCGCGUGCGGGAUGCCGGCCUUCGGGUUGUAAACCGAUUUCGCCUGUGACGAAGCGUGAGUGACGGUACUGGGUCAAGAAGCCCCGGCUAACUACGUG